rnacentral:rRNA from 1 species
GAUGAACGCUAGCGGCAGGCCUAACACAUGCAAGUCGAGGGGUAGAGUUCUUCGGGACUUGAGACCGGCGCACGGGUGCGUAACGCGUGGGAAUCUGCCCUUGGGUUCGGAAUAACUUCGGGAAACUGAAGCUAAUACCGGAUGAUGACGUAAGUCCAAAGAUUUAUCGCCCAAGGAUGAGCCCGCGUAGGAUUAGCUAGUUGGUGAGGUAAAGGCUCACCAAGGCGACGAUCCUUAGCUGGUCUGAGAGGAUGAUCAGCCACACUGGGACUGAGACACGGUCCAGACUCCUACGGGAGGCAGCAGUGGGGAAUAUUGGACAAUGGGCGAAAGCCUGAUCCAGCCAUGCCGCGUGUGUGAUGAAGGCCU